GUGGGGAAUAUUGGACAAUGGGGGGAACCCUGAUCCAGCCAUGCCGCGUGUGUGAAGAAGGCCUUUUGGUUGUAAAGCACUUUCAGCGAGGAGGAGGCUACCGAGAUUAAUACUCUUGGAUAGUGGACGUUACUCGCAGAAUAAGCACCGGCUAACUCUGUGCCAGCAGCCGCGGUAAUACAGAGGGUGCAAGCGUUAAUCGGAUUUACUGGGCGUAAAGCGCGCGUAGGUGGCCAAUUAAGUCAAAUGUGAAAUCCCCGAGCUUAACUUGGGAAUUGCAUUCGAUACUGGUUGGCUAGAGUAUGGGAGAGGAUGGUAGAAUUCCAGGUGUAGCGGUGAAAUGCGUAGAGAUCUGGAGGAAUACCGAUGGCGAAGGCAGCCAUCUGGCCUAAUACUGACACUGAGGUGCGAAAGCAUGGGGAGCAAACAGGAUUAGAAACCCGAGUAGUCC
rnacentral:rRNA from 1 species